GAUGAACGCUGGCGGCGUGCCUAAUACAUGCAAGUCGAGCGAACAGACGAGGAGCUUGCUCCUCUGACGUUAGCGGCGGACGGGUGAGUAACACGUGGAUAACCUACCUAUAAGACUGGGAUAACUUCGGGAAACCGGAGCUAAUACCGGAUAAUAUAUUGAACCGCAUGGUUCAAUAGUGAAAGACGGUUUUGCUGUCACUUAUAGAUGGAUCCGCGCCGCAUUAGCUAGUUGGUAAGGUAACGGCUUACCAAGGCAACGAUGCGUAGCCGACCUGAGAGGGUGAUCGGCAACACUGGACCUGAGACACGGUCAAGAUCCCUACGGGAGGCAGCAGUAGGGAAUCUUCCGCAAGGGGCGAAAGCUGGACGGAGCAACGCGGCGUGAGUGAUGAAGGUCUUCGGAUCGUAAAACUCUGUUAUGAGGGAAGAACAAAUGUGUAAGUAACUAUGCACGUCUUGACGGUACCUAAUCAGAAAGCAACGGCUAACUACGU
rnacentral:rRNA from 1 species